GAUGAACGCUGGCGGCGUGCCUAAUACAUGCAAGUCGAGCGAACAGACGAGGAGCUUGCUCCUCUGACGUUAGCGGCGGACGGGUGAGUAACACGUGGAUAACCUACCUAUAAGACUGGGAUAACUUCGGGAAACCGGAGCUAAUACCGGAUAAUAUAUUGAACCGCAUGGUUCAAUAGUGAAAGACGGUUUUGCUGUCACUUAUAGAUGGAUCCGCGCCGCAUUAGCUAGUUGGUAAGGUAACGGCUUACCAAGGCAACGAUGCGUAGCCGACCUGAGAGGGGGAACGGCCCCACUGAAACUGGAACACGGUCCAAACCCCUAGGGGGGGAAGAGGGGGGGAAUUUGCCGAAAGGGGCGAAACCCUGACGGGGAAACCCGCGGGGGGUGAUGAAGGUUUUGGGAUCGUAAAACUCUUUUAUUGGGGAAAAACAAAUUUGUAAGUAACUAUGCCCGUUUUGAGGGUACCAAAUAAAAAAGCCACGGCUAACUACGU
rnacentral:rRNA from 1 species